CAGCAGCCGCGGGAAUACGAAGGGUGCAAGCGUUACUCGGAAUUACUGGGCGUAAAGCGUGCGUAGGUGGUGGUUUAAGUCCGUUGUGAAAGCCCUGGGCUCAACCUGGGAAUUGCAGUGGAUACUGGGUCACUAGAGUGUGGUAGAGGAUAGUGGAAUUUCCGGUGUAGCAGUGAAAUGCGUAGAGAUCGGAAGGAACAUCUGUGGCGAAGGCGACUAUCUGGGCCAACACUGACACUGAGGCACGAAAGCGUGGGGAGCAAACAGGAUUAGAUACCCCCGUAGUCCCUGUCUAUUAUAC
rnacentral:rRNA from 1 species